UUCCUCCGGGAGGCAGCAGUAAGGAAUUUUGUGCAAUGGGCGAAAGCCUGACACAGCGACGCCGCGUGGGGGAUGAAGGCUUUCGGGUUGUAAACCCCUUUUCUCAGGGAGGAAUAAUGACAGUACCUGAGGAAUAAGUCCCGGCUAACUACGUGCCAGCAGCCGCGGUAAUACGUAGGUGGCGAGCGUUAUCCGGAUUUAUUGGGCGUAAAGCGGGUGCAGGCGGUUUUUCAAGUCGGAUGUAAAAUUUCUCGGCUUAACUGAGGAGGUGCAUUCGAUACUGCUAAGCUUGAGGAUAGCGAGGAGAGGU
rnacentral:rRNA from 1 species